GGCCUAGUGCUGUUAGAGGCUGUAUUCUAGGAAAGCCUAUGACGGUUUGGGAAACUGGGCCAUGCUGAGUGCCUGUAGACAGCGUUCCCGGAAGAGGAAAAAGCAACCUUUGUCUUUAUGUGGGAAUCUCUAAGCAAUAUUUUUGGCUUUGUUUACAUUUGAAGGUUAGAUAUGUGUCAAUCCACGUGAUUGACAUUGAACAUGGAAAAUGAGAAUGAAAGUUUUGUCUGGAAGAUUUAUUUAGGAGGUUUGGAGACAGUUCUUGCACUACAGAAAGGUGGGCUGGAAAUAGGUACCAAUUUGCCUUAAAACGUUUCUUUUAAAAUACCUGGCUUUUAAGGAGUUCAGACUGAGAUGCCAAGAUCUGAAGUCUGUGCUUGAUUACUGAGCAGGGACAGGAAGUGCUCGGUGACUGGGGAGGCGGGGCUCAGGCGAGUGCGCAGAGCCAGGGAACCCGUCUGGAUGGUGGCUCUUUCCCACCAUCCUUCUCUGGCAGCAGCAGUUCAAAGUGGAGCUUCCAGGCUGUCCCAUACAUUUCACGAUUUCUGAGUCUUUCGCUUCAAUUUAAAAAAAGCUGGGGGCACGACCGAAUCCUGCCUCUGUCCACCGCCAUCUCGUUCCUCAUCGCAGGGGGCCCUUCUUGCUCCCUCCACUGCUGCGCUCUGC
rnacentral:lncRNA from 1 species